rnacentral:misc_RNA from 1 species
GUGAAUCAUCGAAUUUUUGAACGCAAAUUGCACUUUCUGGUAUUCCGGCAAGUAUGCCUGUUUGAGGGUCAGUUCAAUACUAAUCGGUGUUGUUGCUGUCUUUCGUGGUGACGCGCCGGAAUUGGAUCGUCUUACCUUCGGUUAAGUGACUUCAAAUUUUUGCAUGAUUUUCGAACGUAUUUAAAUCGCUUACGUACGUUUGAGAUAUCGAAUGCUUAUUAGGUUCGGUCAUUCCGAUGAUUCGCGCCUAUCAUUUUUCAUUAAAUGACUUCAAAUCAGGUAAGAAUACCCGCUGAACUUA